rnacentral:rRNA from 1 species
CACGUAGGGUGCGAGCGUUGUCCGGAAUUAUUGGGCGUAAAGAGCUCGUAGGCGGUGUGUCGCGUCGGCCGUGAAAACCUGUGGCUUAACUAUGGGCUUGCGGUCGAUACGGGCAUCACUGGAGUUCGGCAGGGGAGACUGGAAUUCUUGGUGUAGCGGUGAAAUGCGUAGAUAUCAAGAGGAACACCUGCGGCGAAGGCGGGUUGCUGGGCCGACACUGACGCUGAUGCGCGAAAGCCAGGGGAGCGAACGGG